GUUCUCUUAGCUCAGUAGGAUAGAGCAAAUGCCUUCUAAGCAUUCGGUCGAAGGUUCGAAUCCUUCAGGGAACACCA
rnacentral:tRNA from 1 species